GUGCUCGCUUCGGCAGCACAUAUACUAAAAUUGGAACGGUACAGAGAAGAUUAGCAUGGCCCCUGCACAAGGAUGACAUGCAAAUUCAUGAAGCAUUCCAUAUUUUU
rnacentral:snRNA from 1 species